rnacentral:lncRNA from 1 species
CAGCAUAAGACUUUUUUUUGCAGUGUGUGUGUGUGGUGGGUCGGCUUAUAAAAAGAGGAGUGUAGAAGCUACGGGAAGGGAAUCAGAGGCCACCUAAAGCAGCCGAGAACUGUACUUGUACCAGGUUCGAGGAGCACAAGAGAUCAACCCAAGGAGCAGACACUUCCAAUGCAAAAGGAGAAGGUUUCUUUUUAUUGGUCAAGGUGACCAGCUUGCAUCUGAGAAAUAAGAUGCCAACCAGCCAAAAAGAGAAGCUUUUAAAGGGGCAGACCAUAAGGUUGAAGGCCACUAAUUUCGGAGUUUCCAUGGUUACUUAAGGUUUUUCUAACAAAGCAGCUGACAUGGCUUCAUGGACAUAUAGACACCUUAUCUUCCAGAUUGGUAUUUCCCAGUUUGUACAGCA